rnacentral:rRNA from 1 species
CGGUAAUACGUAGGGUCCAAGCGUUAAUCGGAAUUACUGGGCGUAAAGCGUGCGCAGGCGGUUGUGCAAGACCGAUGUGAAAUCCCCGAGCUUAACUUGGGAAUUGCAUUGGUGACUGCACGGCUAGAGUGUGUCAGAGGGGGGUAGAAUUCCACGUGUAGCAGUGAAAUGCGUAGAGAUGUGGAGGAAUACCGAUGGCGAAGGCAGCCCCCUGGGAUAACACUGACGCUCAUGCACGAAAGCGUGGGGAGCAAACAGGAUU